AGAAAGAGAGCCAGCGAGAAAGAGCGAGCCCGACAGCGAGCGCAGGGAGCGACACCAUGCCCGGCUGGAAGAAGAAUAUCCCUAUCUGCUUGCAGGCAGAGGAGCAGGAGAGACUCAACUUGCCUCUGCUUCCUCCUGGGAACCUUUCCUGGCCCUUUAGCUAAGGAAGAAGAUUGCUGUCUGGUUUGAACUGGAAUUUCUCGCUAUGUCCCACUGGAGGUAUGUCAUAGUCUGCUCUUCUCA
rnacentral:lncRNA from 1 species